AUGGAAUUAAUUCCUCAAAUAUAUUAUACCCAUGUCAAGUUUUAGAAAAACUGAGGGCUCAAGACUGGCAAGCUGUGAGAUUAAGGCUAUGAAAAUGUUAUAUCCCUGGAAAACUGGAAAAAGCAAAGAGCAACUCUUACACAAUACAGAAGACUAGCAGAACUAGCCCUUUUGCCAGAACUUGGACCAAGAAAAUGGAGUGAGUUAAAGUGAAUUACACUGCUGACUGUUUGAAAAUCAGGAAAUUCACGCCCUCCUAUUAUCUUUGGCAGUUAUUUUGGUGACUGAACUAUGGUGAUACUGUGCAUUUAAGGGACUAUAAAUAGGUAUACAUGUCCUGCUGCAUGUGUCAAAGAUCCAGCCAAAAGUGAGUCAACUCCUCUGCUGCUUUAUUUCUGAGAUUGGGCAGCGUUCAUGGUUACUUCACUUGUAACUUGUGUGAGAGGGAAAUUUAAAGUUUUCACCCCUUGAAUAUUAAGGUGACACUAAGAAUCAGGUGUUGGAUGAUCUUUGUGUAUUCUGGAAGAGUCUAAAAAUAUUUACGUAACUAAUAUUUCCU
rnacentral:lncRNA from 1 species